AUGCAUUCCAAGCAGCGCUUUGAAGGCAAAUGUACCAUUUUGGAAGCGAUUCCACCUGCGAAACAAUAUCUUUCAUCUCCUGCUCGUCUGCAUCCUAGUGGGGCCCGAGAGGACUCAUCAAUCCAAAGGUUAAUGAGCUGCUUUCAGCAUGGAUCAUAGGAACGUAGGAAGUUGCUUUAUACAGAGUCAGACGUUGGGUCCAACUAGCUCAGGAUUGUCUACCCAAACUGGCGGUGGCUUCUCCAAGGCCCUAAGAAGGCAGCUCAGUACAAACCCAGGAACCAGCCAGGACCAAGCAGCAGAGGAAGCAGAAACCCCAAGGCGAAGGACAAGAAUUCCAGGGCCCCUUCCUGACCUGCUGGCCAACAUUAUGACAUACGAUUUCAUUAAACACAGAGCUG